ACCUGGCUGGCUCAGUCAGGACAGCAUGCAACUCUUGAUCUCGGGAUUGUGGGUUCAAGCCCCACGCUGGGUG
rnacentral:tRNA from 1 species